CGGAAAAAUUCUAAGAAGGUAACUUACGUUUUGAAAUCAAGGGAUGAAGGGUCAAAAAAUGGUCGGAUGCAAUGGAAGAUGAUUACGCAAUGGUUAAACAAAGAGGUGCACAAGAAGAAAAAAAGCAUAUAGAGAAGGACAAGUGAGCGAAAUCACGAUGAAAAAAUUGAACAAGUAAACGAAAUCCCUUUAUUACUUCACAGUUUACGGGUGUUCGCUGUGCGACAUAUGAAAAUGUAUAGUGGGAGUGGUGAGAAGUUUGAUUGCAUAUUCAGCAAAUAUAAAGAAAUUCAAGACUUGCAACUUAAGAACAUGAGGAUGAAGAUAGCAACAAAAUUGCCAGUAUAAGAGGCAAAUGAUCAUGUUUGUUAAUAUAUGGUGUAUUAUGUUGUUUGGUAGAGGGAAUGUUGGUACUGCACGUGUGCAUAGUUUGAAAUAGCAUACAUAUUGGAAUUG